ACCCCCUAAAGCAAGGGAAAGCAAGGGUUGAUAGAUACCAGACUGUUCUCACCAAUGGAAGACGAGCAGGUUCUCUGGCCAUCAACAGUCUCCAACUCCAACUCCAACUCCAACUCCAACUCGAUGGUAUCAGCGACGCUUGGUCGAGUGGUGAGCACUCUGCUCAGUGUCCGUCCCAAGAAGCUUCAAGACGCUAUUUCUCGACUCCACUCUCCUCCCAAAAGAGGCUCAUUUGUUACUUUGGAAGAAUCACUGUGGAUUCUUCACACCUACGUUUGAGAAGCAGCUCAGAGGGAGGAUUCUUUGGAUGAAAUCCUCGUUCCCAUUACUCAACAUUCAUUGAAACACAAGGAAUCAAAGCAUGGUAACCAAGCAAUGCUACUUUUUAAUUGGCUUUUUCAAGAUGAAAUUAUUUUCCAAGCUCUUGCAACAAAUCUUGCCGGCAUCAUAAGAAGAAAAGAGGACCGGUAUAUUGCCCUUGGCUGGUGUAUACUUGUGCGUGGUCUUGUAGAGUAUGAGAUUACCAUGAAACAAUUUAUAAAUAAUGGAAUAAAGGACUAGUAUCGUUCAUUACUGAAAAUUUUUUCAUCAUGUAUCAGUCAUCUCAUAUCUAUUGUAUGUAUUGGAAGGUAUGUCUUUUCACAUCAAAAUGUGGCAGUGGCGUUUGGUAACCAGGCAUUUAGCUGCAAGUUGAAGGAAGCUUUUUUUUGUUUGUGUGUAUUGCUUCAGCAUUUGUUGCCUGCUCUGAUUCACCAGUUGUUUUGAUACUGCCUUAUAAUUAUAACUGCAUUCUCUCUUUACCACGCUCAAGCUGCAUGGAUUCCUAAUAGGUUGCCUUUAAUUGAAGUUCAAAUUCUACACACUAUGAUUUCUAUUGUUUGUUUUUCCAUUUAUACGAUAAUUUGCUUCUCAUUUUGGCCUUCCCUCAAUGCUUUGGUGUUUAUUUUUAAUUUUUUGUUUUUUUGGGGGUGGGUUGGUGGCCUUUGGGUUAGCAGUAUCUGGUCAUCUCUAAGUUUGAGCCAUUAAUAUUAUCUGGUGAAGUGUGAGCAUGCUUGGAUAAAGCAUCUUGGAAUUAAUGACUGGGUUCCCACCUGGAGUGGUCUAGUCUCAAUUUGUAGAUGAAGAGGGCAUAAAGAGCUACAAGGAUAUAAUUCUAAAAUGGGGACAACUCUGUCUGGACUUGAAAUCCUUACUUUGUUGUUAAACACUAAUUUAGGGUUGGUUUGGGGUGUUCUAAA